rnacentral:antisense_RNA from 1 species
GCCAAGUCCUGGACAGUCUUUAGGCCAUGUUGGAACUACAUUUGGAAAGGUGGUUGUUAAACAUUUCCCAGCACACACCUGGAUCUGCAUCUGCUGUGUCAAUUGAACCACUCACUGGUUCUGUGACCUCAGUUCUUCGUAGACUCUGGAAUGGAGCUGGAAGCUGUCAUCCUCAGCACACUAACGCAGGAACAGAAAACCAAGCACUGCAUGUUCCCACUUAUAAGUGAGAGCUGAACGAGCAGAACACAUGGACAUAUGAAGGGGAACAACACACUCUGGGGCCUGUGAGGUGCGGGGAGAGCAUCAAGAAGAACAGCUAAUGGGUGCUGGGCUUAAUACCUGGGUGAUGGGUUGAUCUGUGCGGCAAACCACCAUGGCACACAUUUACCUAUGUAACAAACCUGGACAUCCUGCACAUGUACCCCGGAACUUAAAAAUAAAA